UAGUAUUAAGGAAGGAACUUAAUUCUGAGACUAGCUCCUGCUGAAGAAGGAACCCUAAUCUGCUUCCUGCUGAAAGUGUGCUCAGCACACAGUUGUGGUCAAUUUCAGAACUGCUGCUAUGCUGCUACCAAGUUGAUGAUAGGAGGCCACCUUCAGAGGCAAGAUUUAAAAUUCCUGAUAGACCCAUGAGGCCAUGAGGUUGAGGCAGGUAAUAGGGGCAAACUCAGUUGGAGGUGAUUGACGAAGCCCUAGCAGAUGGCAGAGUGCAGGAGCAAGACGUGGGGGAGAAGGGGGAUGAGGUUGACAGAAGAACUAAGGGGAGACCAAAAGGAAGCCUGGAAGGGGCUGAUAUCCAAGUAGAGUGGGUUCUGUUACUAGUCUAGAUACCAAAAGAAUGACUUCAGUAUGACAUAACUGGGCAGACAAGAUGGGACAGCAAUCUUUAAUGACAACAGUACCAGACAAAAUCCUAGGGUAGGGCCCACUUUUCUGCAUGUUGCUCUCAAUUCAAAUCAAAUAAUAUUGUAUUCGCGGAUCACAAUCUAAUCAACACAACAAGAACCACCCCAGCAUGCUGCACUUCAGACUGUGACCAGAAACUUCAGGUGUGGAAUGACACCCCUUCAGCUUCAUCACUUGGCCACCAGGUUCCAUAUGCUGACCAGACUUCCCUGGACAGACGACCCCAUCAAUGUGUACUGGAGCGCCACUUCCUCAGAGCCCCACCCUACUAUGGAAAGAGAGAGGCAGACUGGGAGUAUGGAUCGACCAGUCAACGCCCAUGUUCAGCGGGGAAGCAAUUACAGAAGCCAGACCUUCCACCCUCUGCAACCCACAACGACCCUGGAUCCAUACUCCCAGACAGAUAGAGAAUGGGAAGGCUAUCAGGGGAGGUGGUGGGAUGUGGAGAUCGGGUUAUGGGAAUUGUGCGGAAUUGUACCCCUUUCAUUCUAUGGUUUUGUUAAUGUCUCCUUUCUUAAAUAAAUAAAUUAAUUAAUUAAUUACAAUAAAGAUAAAUAAAAGUUAAAAAAGUAUGCUUAGGCUGGGGGUAUGGCUCCACCUGCCAGAUGCCCAUGUCCAGCAAAGAAGCAAUUAAAGAAGCCAGAGCUUUUUCCUUCCAAACCACAAAAAGAAUAUUGGUCCAUACCCCCCAGAGAGAACUGUUAGGGGAAGUUAGGGGAAGAGGGCUCUAGACCCCAAUUCCAGCAGGACCCAAAACACUUGUCACCAGGAAUCUUUGUUUUUAUACCAUCACUGAAAAAGAAGAGAAUCUGAAAAACACCAGAGGAAGUCAGGCACUGUUUCACUUAUUUGAGAAAGAAGAGGAAAAAGGAAAUACAUUCAAAGGUAGUAAUAAGUGUAGAUAUGACUUGGAAAGGAAAUGAAGGCAGGACCGUAGAAAUAAUGGGCAAAAACAUAUUGACAUCAAUAUGGAAAUAGAUAAGUGGAUAUGUAGACAUAAAGUCAACCCAUAUCUGUGACGUUGGGAAAACUAUUGCAGUUUCUGCUGGAGGGGAUGGGGAUACAGAACACUGGUGGUAGGCACAGUAUGAAAUUAGACCCUUAUUAUCUUAUAAUUUUGUAAAUCACUAAUACACUGUUAAAUUCUGCUUAUAAUUUUAGUGUUAAUUCUACCAUACUACAAGUAUGUUUUGCUAGUGUAUAUUCUGUCUCACUAAUGCAAUGUAAUUUAUAUUUAAAUAAAGACAUAAGGGACACAUAUAAAAGACAAUUUUUAAAAAUUGCUUCAAAGGUAAAUCAUAAAGUUAGUUGCCCCAAUAUCCCAUGUCAGAAAACAAAAAUAAACAAACCCCCCCAA